GGGAAUGUGGCUUAGUGGUAGAGUGCUUGCCUGGCAUGCAUGAAGGCUUGGGUUCAAUUCCUCAGUACUACCG
rnacentral:tRNA from 1 species